AAGAAACCAACAGGGAUUGCCUCAGUAACGGCGAGUGAAGCGGCAACAGCUCAAAUUUGAAAGCUGGCCCCCCCGGGGGUCCGCGUUGUAAUUUGUAGAGGAUGAUUCGGCGAGGGCUCCCGCCUAAGUCCCCUGGAACGGGGCGUCAUAGAGGGUGAGAAUCCCGUAUGCGGUGGGCUGCCUUAGCCAUGUGAAUCUCCUUCGACGAGUCGAGUUGUUUGGGAAUGCAGCUCUAAAUGGGAGGUAAAUUUCUUCUAAAGCUAAAUACCGGCCAGAGACCGAUAGCGCACAAGUAGAGUGAUCGAAAGAUGAAAAGCACUUUGGAAAGAGAGUUAAAAAGUACGUGAAAUUGUUGAAAGGGAAGCGCUUGCAGCCAGACUUGUCCGCAGUUGCUCAGCCGGUCUCCUGACCGGCGCACUCUUCUGCGGCCAGGCCAGCAUCAGUUCGGGCGGUCGGAUAAAGGCCCCGGGAACGUAGCUCCUCUCGGGGAGUGUUAUAGCCCGGGGUGGAAUGCGGCCAGCCUGGACUGAGGAUCUCGCUUCGGCUAGGAUGCUGGCGUAAUGGCUGUAAGCGGCCCGUCUUGAAACACGGACCAAGGAGUCUAACAUCUAUGCGAGUGUUUGGGUGUCAAACCCAUGCGCGUAAUGAAAGUGAACGGAGGUGGGAACCCUCGCGGGUGCACCAUCGACCGAUCCUGAUGUCUUCGGAUGGAUUUGAGUAAGAGCAUAGCUGUUGGGACCCGAAAGAUGGUGAACUAUGCCUGAAUAGGGUGAAGCCAGAGGAAACUCUGGUGGAGGCUCGCAGCGGUUCUGACGUGCAAAUCGAUCGUCAAAUUUGGGUAUAGGGGCGAAAGACUAAUCGAACCAUCGACUACUAGGUGGUUAAGAGGUGGCUGAAAGUGCCCACCUAGUCCCCCCGUCCGAGGACGGGGGGGCGACAUCGCCAAAUUGCGGGGACUCCCUUAGAGCCUCUACUACCGCGGCCGGCCGAAAGGCGCGGUGCAGCACCGGGUUAAUUGCCUAGGGUACGGUAAAAAGGUAGAGGAUUGGGAAAUCCGCAGCCAAGCGCCUAAGUCCCGCGGGAUACGGCGAAGGUUCAGAGACUAGAUGGCGGUGGGUCCGGCCCGAGGGCCGGGCCUAAGGUAUAGUCCACCCCCCGCGGAGACGCGGGCGGAUC
rnacentral:rRNA from 1 species